UACAGAGGUCUCAAGCGUUGUUCGGAUUCAUUGGGCGUAAAGGGUGCGUAGGCGGCGCGGUAAGUCACUUGUGAAAUCUCUGAGCUUAACUCAGAACGGCCAAGUGAUACUGCAGUGCUAGAGUGUGGAAGGGGCAAUCGGAAUUCUUGGUGUAGCGGUGAAAUGCGCAGAUAUCAGGAGGAACACCGAUUGCGAAGGCAGCUCGCUGGGACGUUACUGACGCUGAGACGCGAAAGCGUGGGGAGCAAACAGG
rnacentral:rRNA from 1 species